UUUAACACCAAAUAUAUAUGC
rnacentral:siRNA from 1 species